rnacentral:snRNA from 1 species
GUACUCCGCUCCACCUUCAGAACGAAAAACUCUUUCGCCUUUUACUAAAGAGUUCCGUGGAGGUGGUGCACUCGAGGAGUCUCGACUUUUAUUUUUGACGCGCCCAGCUCUCUCCGGAGCCGG